rnacentral:misc_RNA from 1 species
GAUGAAGAACGUAGCGAAAUGCGAUAAGUAAUGUGAAUUGCAGAAUUCAGUGAAUCAUCGAAUCUUUGAACGCACAUUGCGCCCUCUGGUAUUCCGGGGGGCAUGCCUGUUCGAGCGUCAUUAUAACCACUCAAGCUCUCGCUUGGUAUUGGGGUUCGCGGUUUCGCGGCCCCUAAAAUCAGUGGCGGUGCCUGUCGGCUCUACGCGUAGUAAUACUUCUCGCGAUUGAGUUCGAUAGGUCUACUUGCCAGUAACCCCCAAUUUUUACAGGUUGACCUCGGAUCAGGUAGGGAUACCCGCUGAACUUAAGCAUAUCAUAAGCGGAGGA